rnacentral:tRNA from 1 species
GGGAGAUUCCAGAGCGGUCAAAUGGGGCAGACUGUAAAUCUGUUGGCUAAGCCUUCGGAGGUUCGAAUCCUCCUCUCCCCA